UUAAGUUCAGCGGGUAUCCCUACCUUAUCCGAGGUCAACCUGGGAUGUGCGCAGAUGCGCGUGUUUGACAGCCGCCUGAGGUCGGUCCCCAGCGAGUUAAUUUCUACUACGCCGGAAUACCGUUCUCUCAGCCGCUGAUGACUUUGAGGCCCGCCCACGCGGAGGCAGAGGCCCAAUACCAAGCAGAGCUUGACGGUUGU
rnacentral:misc_RNA from 1 species